rnacentral:rRNA from 1 species
AUGGAAAACUCGAGCAACCACAGGGGCUCGCGGGGCUCCGGGCUUCCUUGCGAUCUGGCCAGGUGCAUUGGCGACCGCCUCGACGUGCUAGGGCGCAUAUGCUUCCGCGCCGUGUGCCGGUCAUGGAGGGCAGCGCUCCCCGCCGGCCGCGUGACGUCCAUUCCGUCCCCUUUAGUCGUCAUCCCUGCUACAAUACCGUGCCGCUCCUUGCCCCUGCGAUCCAUCGUCGACUCAUGCAGCGGCACCACCACCACCUCCAACCCCUUAACACUCCACGCCGUCGGCUCGGGGCUGCGCUGCGUUGGCUCCAGCGGCGGGUGGGUCGCCGUCGCCGACUCCGAUUCGGUUGUACGGCUGGUAAACGGCCUGACGCUACAGGUGGCGGCAUGCUUGCCGCCGCUCCCGCGCAACACGGAGGUCCGGCGCCUGCAAGGCCUCGGCUUGGUCGACCCCUACUUCGCGUCCCAAGCUCCAGACGACUUCGACGACAUGCUCCUCGGCCGUGAGCACACCAUCCACAAGGUGGCGUUCUCGGUCAGGCCGCCGCGCGCGCGCGGGAGCAGCUACGCCCACAGCGCCGCGGCCCUCCACCGCGCACCUCGGCAGAGGCAGGGGCUGGCCUUGACAUUCACCAGGGCCGGGUGGGACCGGUGGGAAUGGCAGGAACCAGGCUUCUUCCCUGCCGGCGAGGACGAGCACUUCGACAUCGCCUGCUGCCAACGAUCCGGCGUGUACUACGUGCUGACGCCCGACUGGGUGUGGGUCCUGGACAUGAGCGCGCCCGUCCCCACGCUGGAGCCCUUAGUGAGAAUGAGCUGCGGCAUGUCCCUCUGCAAGGUCACCUUCGGGGAACGUAGGCACGUCGUCAUCUUGUCCGACGACGACGACGGCGGCGGGGCGCUCUCGCAGAUGUAUAUGGUGAUAAUCCAGGAAAUGCAGCAGCGGCGCGUCAUUGUGCAAAGGUAUACGGCCGGGGAGCCGUGGACCGUGGUCUCCGACCUGGGCGGCCGCGCCCUGCUCAUCGCCAAUCGCGCGCAGUCGGUGUCGGUACUCGGUGCUGCCUACGGCGUCGUCCCCGCCGUGCCGGGGUGCUCGAUUCGUGGCGGCGGUGCUCGAUUCGUGGGCGGCGGUGCUCGAUCCGUGGGCGGCGUUGCUCAAUCCGUGCUGGAGCAGCGGGAGGAGGAGGCCAGGGUGGAGAUCGUGGUGCGGGAGGGGGAGCUCGGCGAGACGGUGGCGGCGGCGGUGGGGCAGCUCCGGUCGUCCACGCUCCUCGUCAGCCUCCACGACAAGAGCUUCCUCUACAGGGAAAAGAAGCAAGGAGUACAAGGAACACACACUAUGUCAACAGAGUGGACAGAUGGACCUGUUCAAGUCUCGGUUGGUACUGCAGCAGCCUUGCCGGUCCAAGCAAUCAAGAUCAUCAGCAAGUCAAUAACGGAGACGGUCGAGCACUAUCAUCACACUGAACCUGCAACACCAUGCAACAUUCUUCAAAGGGUGUACAAGACGGCCGAGCUGUGGCAGGUGAAGGAGCCGCUGCCGCUGCUCGCGCCGAAGAAGCGCAACUGCUCCAUGGUGUUCACCCUCAAGGAGAUGGAGGAGGCCACCAGCAUGUUCAGCGACAAGAACCUCAUCGGCAAGGGUGGCUUCGGCCGGGUUUACAGGGGCGUGCUCAAAGAUGGGCAGAUUCUCUUGAUUGGAGUGGAGAGGAGCAGAGACGAGAGGAGCAACAGAAGUGGACAGCGCAGCGGCUGA